CUCCCGCCUUGUGGUUUUUCAUUCUCACUUCAGAUUCCAGCCUCUGGUUCUGAAACCUCUCUGUCUGUAACUAUAGGCGCGGAUGUCAGGACUGUCCAUAAUGUGUCUUAUUCACUCGUCCAAUCUCUCCACUUGCCGUACAUACAAGUUUGAGCCCCUCAGAGAAGCCGCCUCCAUGUGCAGCUGUAGACUAUGAAUCCUUUGUGAGAUUACCUCUCAACAAGAGAGAGACACGGGAUGUCUAUCAUCCAGCGUUCCCAACAUUUAUAGGCCUGACAUCAGCUGCCACAAACAUGAAACAGCUCCACAAGAAAGUAAUCUCCAGAUGGCUACAUCAAGUUGGGGUCCGAGCCUAGAACCUAGAAGGGUAGAAGGAAAAAAGAUUUUUUCCUCCUCUACAAUUCCAGGAGGAAACUCAAGCAGGACGAGGACCAUGGGGAAAGGAACUGAAAUGCCUAGCCAAGAGCUAUAUGAGUAAACCACCUUGGAAGUGGAUCUUCCAGCCCCUGUUAAGUCUUCGGGUAACAGAGCCACACCUGACCUCUGACUACAGUAUCGUGAGAUACUCCUAAGUUUUUGACCCACAAAGCAAUGAGAAAUAAUAAAUGAUUAUUACUAUUUUAACUGCCACGACAUUUUGGAGUGGUUUGCCAUAGAUGACAAAUAUAGCAAGAUGGGAAAUGUACAUCAGCAGGGGGAAGGAUCCAAACAUGACAGAUAGCACGUCUUUGAUGUGACUAACGACAGGGCCCAGACUGCGCAGGAAAGCAAAUGACGCUUUGAAGGAAGGUCAUGAUUUUAAUGGGGAUGUUUAAAAUGAAGUCAACAUGUUCUGAGAUAUUCUGGCAUCCCUAAGAAAGGAACUGAAAUGACAUAACUUCCUGUGGUUAGAAAAGUGUGGUUAUAAUAAUAGUCAUUCAUUUGAAAAAAAUUUUAUGAGCAAAUAUUCUUAGUAAUUUACAUGUGUCUGGUCUUUGCACACUUAAUUUCCCAUACCUUCUGGUGUUUAAUAUUCACAGUAACCGUGUGAGAUAGCUAUUGUCAAUUUAAUUCCAUUUUAUGGAUGAAGAAGCUAAGUCUUAAAAAAGUCACCUAAAGUCGCAAUUAGGAAAUGGCAGAGCCAGGAUUGAAAUUCAAGUCUUCUGAUUCAGUGCAUAGUUUUUGUUCCUUUGAUCAAAGUUGCUCUGUGGAGAAUACAGAGGAAAUGGUAAGUCUUGGAAGCCCUAUCCUCUCGGAAUUUAAAGCUUUGUUAAGGUGAAAAGAUAUAAAUAUACAGAGUAGGUAAUUAAUGAUAAUUAGCACUUUAUUCUCAGGGAAACAGAGGAACAAAGUAGAUAGCAAAUGCAACAGGAAUUUAAAGAAAGAAAAGAUGCACAUGCACUAAAGAAAAGCUUCAUGAAGGGCCCUGG